rnacentral:rRNA from 1 species
AGCGAACGCUGGCGGCAGGCCUAAUACAUGCAAGUCGAGCGGCCCUUCGGGGCAGCGGCGGACGGAUGAGUAACGCGUGGGAACGUGCCCUUUGGUACGGAACAACUGAGGGAAACUUCAGCUAAUACCGUAUGUGCCCUUCGGGGGAAAGAUUUAUCGCCAUUGGAGCGGCCCGCGUUGGAUUAGCUAGUUGGUGGGGUAAUGGCCCACCAAGGCUACGAUCCAUAGCUGGUCUGAGAGGAUGAUCAGCCACACUGGGACUGAGACACGGCCCAGACUCCUACGGGAGGCAGCAGUAGGGAAUCUUGCGCAAUGGGCGAAAGCCUGACGCAGCCAUGCCGCGUGAAUGAUGAAGGUCUUAGGAUUGUAAAAUUCUUUCACCGGGGAAGAUAAUGACGGUACCCGGAGAAGAAGCCCCGGCUAACUUCGUGCCAGCCGCCGCCGUAAAAC